AGGCGCCCUUCACAAUGACGGCCGGUAAUAUAGUGCUGGUUCUACUGCCACAAAUAUGUUGUGCAAGCAUCGCUGUGACACUUAAGUUCGUGAGAUAUGACCAUGUCGGUGAACGCAGGAUGGCAAAUGGAAGAUGUUGUACUACGUUCUUUUCGAAGUGCAUAGUUCCAUGUGAUCCGUCGAUAAGAGUGUGUGUUUCGUCUCAAACAAUAACAGGAAUGUGUAAUAUAUAUAAAGGAGAGACGAAACAGUUCGGACGCAUGAAGACAAUCACUUUUGACAAUAACAUGGGAGCUGUACCAAACCCUCUCGUACUUCCAGUGGGCCAA